AAAAGCUGCCGUUUUCUUCUUCCGAAAGAGAGCUGCUGAUUGUAGCAUAAUUAGAGAAAGGCCUAUUAUUGAAGACAAGCAUAUUAUUAUCCUCUCUAAAAUAUCGAGUUGACGAAGCAGGCCUGGGAAACUCUAACAGUGGCGUACAAUUCUGAACCAUAUUUUAUGUUUCACAAAGGCUCACACAUCAACUGAAAAGCUGCUGGAAUAAUUUAAAGACCCAAAGAAUGAAAGAACUUUCUCAGGAAUCAAUCAAACGUUCUCAACACCCACUAGUAUCAAGAAAUUAAGAUUAGUAGUAGCAAGAAUGAAGAUUAAGACAGAAACAAGAAUCAAACGCACCACAUUGAAUAAUAUACAACAAGACCAGGCUUUGCACGAGUUGGGGCUACAAAGAGAAAAAAUAUUGAUAGAAAGAGAAAAUAAUUUGUUAGAACAUGAAAAUUAGAUUUAUGAUUUACAAAUACAUAAAAUUAAAUUAGACAUUGAAGAUUGAUGAAAAUAAAACUUCAUUAAAAAUUUUAUGUUUUAUUUGCCACUAGCAACUGAUACAUUAUGUAGGUGGCACUGGAAGGCCUCCUCGCAGUUAAUUUCCUCAGGUCUUCUUUUAUCAGUGGUAAAAGUAUGAAAAGUACCCCAUCAUUGGAAAACCUAAACUAAAUUCGUCUGAAUUGUAAUAAUAAAAGGGAUUUUGGGAAUCCCGUAUCACUUUUCUGGUACUUUAUUUAUUAUUCUACUUUGCUCAUUGAUAUAAUUAUCAAAUUCUUCUUCACUACUGUAAUCCAUUGUAAGAUAAUUUUAAUCGAAUACAACCAUAAAUAAAGCAAACAAACCUCAAAAA